ensembl:snRNA U6 U6 spliceosomal RNA
GUGCUGUCUUCGGCAGCACAUAUACUUAAAUUGGAAGAACACAGAGAUGAUUAGCAUGGCCCCUGCAAAAGGAAGACAUGCAAAUUCUAAAGCAUUUCAUGUUUUAU